rnacentral:rRNA from 1 species
UACGUAGGGUCCGAGCGUUGUCCGGAAUUACUGGGCGUAAAGCGCGCGUAGGUGGUUUGUUAAGUUGGAUGUGAAAUCCCCGGGCUCAACCUGGGAACUGCAUUCAAAACUGACAAGCUAGAGUAUGGUAGAGGGUGGUGGAAUUUCCUGUGUAGCGGUGAAAUGCGUAGAUAUAGGAAGGAACACCAGUGGCGAAGGCGACCACCUGGACUGAGACUGACGCUGAGGCGCGAAAGCGUGGGGAGCAAACAGG